UGGGGAAUAUUGGACAAUGGGGGCAACCCUGAUCCAACAAUUCUGUGUGCACGACGAAGGUUUUCGGAUUGUAAAGUGCUUUCAGCAGGGAAGAAGAAAAUGACGGUACCUGCAGAAGAAGCGACGGCUAAAUACGUGCCAGCAGCCGCGGUAAUACGUAUGUCGCAAGCGUUAUCCGGAAUUAUUGGGCAUAAAGGGCAUCUAGGCGGCCAGAUAAGUCUGGGGUGAAAACUUGCGGCUCAACCGCAAGCCUGCCCUGGAAACUAUGUGGCUAGAGUACUGGAGAGGUGGACGGAACUGCACGAGUAGAGGUGAAAUUCGUAGAUAUGUGCAGGAAUGCCGAUGAUGAAGAUAGUUCACUGGACGGUAACUGACGCUGAAGUGCGAAAGCUAGGGGAGCAAACAGGAUUAGAUACCCUGGUAGUCCUAGCUGUAAACGAUGAUUACUGGGUGUGGGCAUGAAGAGUGUCCGUGCCGAAGCUAAUGCGAUAAGUAAUCCGCCUGGGGAGUACGGCCGCAAGGUUG
rnacentral:rRNA from 1 species